GAUCCUGGCUCAGGAUGAACGCUGGCGGCGUGCCUAACACAUGUAAGUCGAACGAAGCACCUUUUAAGAUUCUUCGGAUGAUUGAUUGGUGACUGAGUGGCGGACGGGUGAGUAACGCGUGGGUAACCUGCCCUGUACAGGGGGAUAACAGUUGGAAACGGCUGCUAAUACCGCAUAAGCGCACGAGAGGACAUCCUCUUGUGUGAAAAACUCCGGUGGUACAGGAUGGGCCCGCGUCUGAUUAG
rnacentral:rRNA from 1 species